rfam:Myotis davidii contig199993, whole genome shotgun sequence.
GGCCUUCCUCUGCGGGGCAAUCGAUCUGGGGGCUCCGUGAUUGAUCACCCCACAGAGGGAGGCC